rnacentral:misc_RNA from 1 species
GAUGAAGAACGCAGCGAAAUGCGAUAAGUAAUGUGAAUUGCAGAAUUCAGUGAAUCAUCGAAUCUUUGAACGCACAUUGCGCCCCUUGGUAUUCCGAGGGGCAUGCCUGUUCGAGCGUCAUUAUAACCCCUCAAGCUCAGCUUGGUGUUGGGGCCUGCUGCACUGGCAGCCCUUAAAAUCAGUGGCGGCACCAUCUGGCUCUAAGCGUAGUAAUUCUUCUCGCUAUGGAGUCCUGGUGGAUGCUUGCCAUCAACCCCCAAUUUUUCUAUGGUUGACCUCGGAUCAGGUAGGGAUACCCGCUGAACUUAAGCAUAUCAAUAAGCGGAGGA